rnacentral:tRNA from 1 species
GCCCACGUAGCUCAGUUGGUAGAGCACAUCCUUGGUAAGGAUGAGGUCACCAGUUCGAUCCUGGUCGUGGGCU